rnacentral:rRNA from 1 species
AUGAGCGAACCUUUUCAGAACUGGUUAGGAAUGGGCGCCACUAUCCCAGCCCGGAUCCAACCAGGUUCUAUUGAUCAUGUCCCCUUCCCAACAAUUGUAUCUUGUCUUGGGGCGUCUUUUUUUGGCUUUACUAUCAAGCCAGACGCGGCGCCCUUUCGCAUUAUCAUCUACCGCCCUUUAUUUCCUCCCGUCCCUUCACACAUGAAGAUCGUCGUAUGUAUGUUCGACCAGAAGAAAAGCCGAUCCAUCGCACGCUGCAUUAGUUAUCGCAUAAUGCAGAAGAAAUCCUUAAAGAUUUUGCAACCUCUCGAACAGCUGACCAGCUCUCGCCGUAUCAUGGCACUCAAAUUUCGGCUUUCUCUACUGAGCGCUCGUCUGGAAGAACCGAGACGCAAUCGCAGUAGUUCUCUCUUUACUACCCUAGCCGAUAUAGCGGAACGUAGGGUAGCAAGCACAGGAGCCGGGCAACCCAACUAUUGA